rnacentral:lncRNA from 1 species
GCAAAUUGCCACAAGGCGUGACCUCAUUUCGGGAACACAUCUUGAAAAUGUAUUUAAUGCUUUCUCUGUGCUCGGAGACAAUGGGUUAGGGUUUGGGGUGCUCCUAACUGACCUUUGGCUUGGGAGAAAUGUGGGCUGCCUCCUGUGAUCGUCAGCUAGUCUCAGAGUGAACAAGAGAAGCGGAUGCUAUUGACGAGCGCACAGGCUGCCUUACCCCUGAUAUUAUGUCUAAAAAUACAUCCACACAGAGGCAGGCAUAUGCUCGCGCCUUGGUGUGAAGGAGCUCUCGCCUGGGUGUCUUGCUCUACCCAUCUAAAUUCUGGAGUGAGGAGUUAAAUUAUUCCGGAAGCCCUGCCAGUUUUUGAUUUGCCAUUGUCUCUGCCUCUUCGUUGCCUUUGAAUGGGACCCUUGAUACGGGGCUUUCAGAGACCAGCCGGUGCUGAUGGGGUCCGUGACUUGACGAUGGCGCCUGCUCGUUCCCGUUGUGUUCUGUCUGAGGCAUGCUUUUCUUUCCUUUUUGGGAGGCAGAGAGCACUGGGCAGAGGUUGCACUUGGCACAUUGCAACGCCGUUGUCACUGCUGUGGCUGUUACUCCCCUCGGCAAGCGCCAAGGAGCAAACAGGACGUAAAGAUGCUGCUGUUCCAUCUUCCAUUGUUCUCAUCUUUCCAAGACUGUGGUGCUCCAGGAGAUCUGCCCUGUGGAAGGGGAACCCAGAUCUAGACUAUCGGUCAGAUGAAGUCAACUGA